UGCCAGCCGCCGCGGUAAGACGAAGGUGGCGAGCGUUAUUCGGAUUUACUGGGCAUAAAGCGCGCGUAGGCGGCUCGGUCAGUCGGAGGUGAAAGCCCACAGCUCAACUGUGGAACUGCCCUCGAUACUGCCGAGCUUGAGUGCAGGAGAGGUGACCGGAACUCCAGGUGUAGCGGUGAAAUGCGUAGAUAUCUGGAGGAACACCAGAGGCGAAGGCGGGUCACUGGACUGCAACUGACGCUGAGGUGCGAAAGCUAGGGGAGCGAACAGGAUUAGAUA
rnacentral:rRNA from 1 species